rnacentral:rRNA from 1 species
GCUUUUUAACGGCCGCGGUAUCCUGAUCGUGCGAAGGUAGCGUAAUCACUUGUCCUUUAAUUGGGGACCCGAAAGGAUGGCAUCACGAGAGUUUGUCUGUCUCUGUUUUCUGAUCAGGAUGUUUGGCUUCCUCGUGCAGAGACGUUAGAUGUAACAUAAGAUAAGAAGACCCUAUGGAACUUUAAGUAUAUUGAAUACUCAGUCGAUAAGGGGGUUUUGUUUGGGUAUAAGGCAACAUAAAUAAAAAUAAGUUAACUUAUUUUUGGUUGGGGCGACCAAGGGGAAAAACGGGUCCCCCUUAUCGAGUAAGUAUUCAAAGUACUUAAAAAUUAAAACGAACAGUUCUAAUCUAUAUGUUAUUAUUC